UACAGAGGGUGCGAGCGUUAAUCGGAAUUACUGGGCGUAAAGCGUGUGUAGGCGGCUCUAUAAGUCAGGUGUGAAAGCCCCGGAUUCAAUUCGGGAAGUGCACUUGAUACUGUGGAGCUUGAGUAUAAGAGAGGAUAGUAGAAUUCCUGGUGUAGUGGUGAAAUACGUAGAUAUCAGGAGGAAUACCGGUGGCGAAGGCGGCUAUCUGGCUUCAUACUGACGCUGAGACACGAAAGCGUGGGGAUCAAACAGG
rnacentral:rRNA from 1 species